GAGUAACACGUGAGCAACCUCGACCCCGAAGACGUGGGAUAACACCGGGAAACCGGUGCUAAUACCGGAUACCCCCACCAAGCCGCAUGACCAGGUGAGGAAAUGAAUUUCGCUUCGGGAGGGGCUCGCGGGCUAUCAGCUUGUUGGUGGGGUAACGGCCUACCAAGGCGACGACGGCUAGCUGGUCUGAGAGGACGACCAGCCACACUGGGACUGAGACACGGCCCAG
rnacentral:rRNA from 1 species